AUUGAACGCUGGCGGAAUGCUCUACACAUGCAAGUCGAACGGCAGCACGGACUUCGGUCUGGUGGCGAGUGGCGAACGGGUGAGUAAUGUAUCGGAACGUGCCCAGUCGUGGGGGAUAACGUAGUGAAAAUUACGCUAAUACCGCAUACGAUCUAUGGAUGAAAGCGGGGGAUCGCAAGACCUCGCGCGAUCGGAGCGGCCGAUAUCAGAUUAGGUAGUGGGUGGGGUAAAGGCCCACCCAGCCAACGAUCUGUAGCUGGUCUGAGAGGACGACCAGCCACACUGGAACUGAGACACGGUCCAGACUCCUACGGGAGGCAGCAGUGGGGAAUUUUGGACAAUGGGCGAAAGCCUGAUCCAGCCAUUCCGCGCGCAGGAUGAAGGCCCUCGGGUUGUAAACUGCUUUUGUACAGAACGAAAAGGUUUCUACUAAUACUAGGAGCUCAUGACGGUACUGUAAGAAUAAGCACCGGCUAACUACGUGCCAGCCGCCGCCGUAA
rnacentral:rRNA from 1 species